GAUGAAGAAGCAGCGAAAUGCGAUAAGUAAUGUGAAUUGCAGAAUUCAGUGAAUCAUCGAAUCUUUGAACGCACCUUGCGCCUUUUGGUAUUCCGAAAGGCACACCUGUUUGAGCGUCAUGAAUACCUCAAUCUCCAUCUUUUCUUCGGAUUGAUGGGUGACUUGGAUGUUGAGCCCUGCUGGUAUGCUAUAUCAGCUGGCUUUAAACUUAUUAGCCGGCUCUGUACUGGAUCGGUUUGACUCGACGUGAUAAUAUUAUCGUUGAGGAUGCAUGUCUCAUGCAGCCGGAAAGUAUCAAAGCAGCUUCUAGCUUGCCUUUAGUGCACUUUUACAUUUUAGACCUCAGAUCAGGUGGGACUACCCGCUGAACUUAAGCAUAUCAAUAAGCGGAGGA
rnacentral:misc_RNA from 1 species